rfam:Bacteroidetes bacterium RIFCSPLOWO2_12_FTLL_37_12 rifcsplowo2_12_scaffold_37, whole genome shotgun sequence.
UACAAGUGGAGUCCAGAACCCACUUCACCCCAUUGAAUAAUUUUAUAACCAAGGGGUAAAAAAACGGGGCGUAACCGAAAAGCCACACGAGUAGGAAAAAU